rnacentral:lncRNA from 1 species
UUGAGUUCCCUGUAGUCGAUACACAUACGGAAUGAUCCGUCUUUCUUCUUAACAAACAAGACUGGUGCUCCCCAAGGCGAGAAGCUUGGUCUUAUGAAGCCCUUGCUGAGCAGUUCGUUAAGUUGACCAGAUAAUUCCUGCAUCUCAGCUGGUGCUAAUCGGUAUGGCGACUUAGCUACUGGGGUAGCUCCUGGAAUUAAGUCGAUUCUGAACUCGAUUUGUCGUUGCGGAGGUAAUCCUGGUAGUUCUUCUGGAAAAAUGUCGGGAAAGUCGCUCACUACUGGGAUAUUCUUUAGUUCUUUCGUUUCUAGGCUUGUAUCGACAACGUGAGCAAGGAAUGCACGAUAUUCCUUAUGUAGAUAUUUUUGUACUUGGAUACUUGAAAUAAUACGAAGACUUGUACUAGGUUUGUCGCCGGAGACGGUAAGAGUUUCGUUAGAUAGGAGGUUUAGACGGAUUGCUUUCUCGAAGCACAUGAUGUCGGCGUGAUGAAGACUCAACCAAUCCAUGCUGAUGAUAACGUCGAAGCUUUUAAUUGAAACCGACAUGAGUUCGAUUGUAAAUGAAUGGUUACCAAGAGUUAAGGUACAACCUAAGUAUAUGCUCUUGGUGCUUUCAGUUNNNNNNNNNNNNNNNNNNNNNNNNNNNNNNNNNNNNNNNNNNNNNNNNNNNNNNNNNNNNNNNNNNNNNNNNNNNNNNNNNNNNNNNNNNNNNNNNNNNNGUGCGAAUGGAUAGUUUUUGUCAACGACUUGACUCUUCGACCAGAGUAUUCCUUCCGACUUAGGGCGUCCGCUACUAAGUUGGCUUUACCUGGAUGAUAACGAAUGUCGCAUUCGUAGUCAUUGAGUAGCUCNGUCUCAUGUUGAGCUCCUUCUGAUCGAAUAUGUGUUGUAAACUCUUGUGGUCGGUAAAAAUAGUGCUUUUUGUGCCAUACAAGUAAUGUCUCCAGAUCUUCAGGGCAAACACAACUGCCCCCAGUUCAAGAUCAUGUGUGGUGUAGUUGACUUCGUGUGUCUUCAGCUGUCUCGAGGCGUAGGCGAUGACCUUACCCCGUUGCAUCAGGACACAACCGAGCCCUUGGUUUGACGCAUCGCAAUAGACCACGAAGUCUUCUAUCCCUUCGGGUAGGGAUAGUAUUGGUGCGGUGCACAAGGCUCGUUUGAGCGUUUGAAAUGCUCUCUCUUGUUUCUCUUCCCAGUCGAAGGCCACGCCCUUCUGGGUCAGUGUUGUAAGAGGUUUCGCAAUACUGGAGAAGUUCUGUAUGAAUCUGCGGUAGUAGCCAGCAAGACCUAGAAAUUGACGAAUUUCUGUAGGCGUCUUUGGUGCUGACCAGUUCUCAAUAGCCUUAAUUUUGGAUGGAUCCACGUGGAUUCCCUCUUUGCUUACCACAUGUCCUAAGAAUUCGACUCUUCAGAUCCAAAAUUCACAUUUCGAGAACUUUGCAUAGAGCUUCUCCGUUCAUAAAGUUCUUAAAACUUGUCGUAGGUGAUUGCCAUGCUCUUCCUUACUUCGGGAGUAGAUCAGGAUGUUGUCAAUAAAGACAAUAACAAACUGAUCCAAGUAAGGUCGGCGUACUCUAUUCAUCAAAUCCAUGAAGACUACGGGCGCAUUGGUCAAUCCGAAUGGCAUCACCACGAACUCGUAGUGUCCGUAACGAGUCCGUAAGGCUGUCUUCGGAACAUCUUCCUCUAGCACUCGUAACUGGUGAUAUCCGGAUCUCAGAUCAAUUUUGGAAAAAUAAUUCGCCCCUUGCAGUUGGUCAAAUAGAUCGUCUAUGCGAGGCAGAGGGUAACGAUUUUUGACCGUCAGCUUGUUGAGUUCCCUGUAGUCGAUACACAUACGGAAUGAUCCGUCUUUCUUCUUAACAAACAAGACUGGUGCUCCCCAAGGCGAGAAGCGUGGUCUUAUGAAGCCCUUGCAGAGCAGUUCAUUAAGUUGACUAGAUAAUUCCUGCAUCUCAGCUGGUGCUAAUCGGUAUGGCGACUUAGCUACUGGGGUAGCUCCUGGAAUUAAGUCGAUUCUGAACUCGAUUUGUCGUUGCGGAGGUAAUCCUGGUAGUUCUUCUGGAAAAAUGUCGGGAAAGUCGCUCACUACUGGGAUAUUCUUUAGUUCUUUCGUUUCUAGGCUUGUAUCGACAACGUGAGCAAGGAAUGCG